rnacentral:rRNA from 1 species
AGUGGGGAAUUUUGGACAAUGGGCGCAAGCCUGAUCCAGCAAUGCCGCGUGCAGGACGAAGGCCUUCGGGUUGUAAACUGCUUUUGUACAGAACGAAAAGCCUUGGGUGAAUACCCUGAGGACAUGACGGUACUGUAAGAAUAAGCACCGGCUAACUACGUGCCAGCAGCCGCGGUAAUACGUAGGGUGCGAGCGUUAAUCGGAAUUACUGGGCGUAAAGCGUGCGCAGGCGGUUUUGUAAGACAGAGGUGAAAUCCCCGGGCUCAACCUGGGAACUGCCUUUGUGACUGCAAGGCUGGAGUGCGGCAGAGGGGGAUGGAAUUCCGCGUGUAGCAGUGAAAUGCGUAGAUAUGCGGAGGAACACCGAUGGCGAAGGCAAUCCCCUGGGCCUGCACUGACGCUCAUGCACGAAAGCGUGGGGAGCAAACAGGAUUAGAUACCCUGGUAGUCCACGCCCUAAACGAUGUCAACUGGUUGUUGGGUAUUAGUUUACUCAGUAACGAAGCUAACGCGUGAAGUUGACCGCCCUGGGGAGUAC